GGCAACAAAGGAUCAGGUUAUAAGAAGGCAGCCUAUGGGCUGAAUUUGGUGACUCACUUCUAAGGAAGGCAAUCUGACAGAAGUAAUGGGAUGUCACUCGCAAGGUCAGGUUAUAAAAAAGACUGAAGGACCCAGAGAGGAGGUGCCCUUUAAUGCAGGCCAGGGCACACCGGCCCCACUAUCGCCUCGCUGCGCCCCCUAAUCCCAACGGAGGUCGGGCUGAGAAGAACGGGGAGGAGAACAUCGACCAGCUCAGGGGCAAGCUCCAGUCAGGACACGGGGUCUUCAUCACUGCUACAAGCCUUCCACGGGGAAGAGAGAGAGCGAGGACCCAAGACCAGCACUAAGCGUGUCUGUGCUGUGCUUUGUCCACAGGAGCUGCACCACACCACCUGACGACUGAGCGCAGACCCGGAGCAGGCAGAACUGCUUGUGAGUCUGAUUAAGUCGACUGCCAUGUCACCAGCUAGGUGACUUUAGACCAGUUACUCACCCGCUUCAAGGUCGUUUGCUCUUCUGUAUGAUGGGGACAGCACCCACCUCGUAAGUUGUGGAGAAGCACAUCAUAUACCUAUGUCCACUUCGAAGCACCCUGACAGAAUCUUUUAUGGAAAAGUACCAGGAUUCAAGCACUUCAGCAUCUACUGACACCAGAGUUACCAGACAGAAAGUACCGCUGUCCUGGCGACACACACAGGUUUCAGUUCUCUACAUGACACUGGACUGAGCUGGAGACGGGGCGUGGAGUGGAAAUGAACCAAAAAGAAAAUAAACAGAGCAGACUACUAAUCUGAUCAUGAAUGACCAAAAGUAAGUAAAAAUUCAAUUAAAGAA